GUCCACGCCGUAAACGAUGUCGACUAGCCGUUGGGGUCCUUGAGACUUUAGUGGCGCAGCUAACGCAUUAAGUCGACCGCCUGGGGAGUACGGCCGCAAUGUUAAAAACUCAAAAUGAAUUGACGGGGGCCCGCACAAGCGGUGGAGCAUGUGGUUUAAUUCGAAGCAACGCGAAGAACCUUACCUGGCCUUGACAUGCUGAGAACUUUCUAGAGAUAGAUUGGUGCCUUCGGGAACUCAGACACAGGUGCUGCAUGGCUGUCGU
rnacentral:rRNA from 1 species